rnacentral:tRNA from 1 species
GAGGGUAUAGUGCAGUGGUAGAGCACGUGCUUAGCAUGCACGAGGUCCUGGGUUCAAUCCCCAGUCCCUCU